rnacentral:lncRNA from 10 species
CCAGACCAGCAUCCAGGGCUCAGGGGAAGCCUGUACCCUUCUGGGGUUUGACAACGAACUUAGAGCCAGCAUGGUUCAGAUAAGGCCAACCCAGAGUUCUGAGGUCAUUUUCCGGGGGGAAGUCAUUCAUUCAAAAAACACUUUCUGGGUACAUUCUCUGUGCCAGGUACAGGACAGAAUGAGAAGGUGCACAGGUGGCUGUGGGAAUGCCUGGUGAGGUUAGGGAGGGCUUCCUGGAGGAAGAGGCAUAUAAACUGAGACCCCAAAAAAUGAAUGUGCUCUUGGUGAGGGGAAGAGAGGGGAAGACAAUUAUAGGAGGAAGGAGCAUUGAACGAAAAUCCCAGGAGCAGAGAGUGAGGGAGUGGGCAUCAAGAAGUGGGUGGAAACAUUGGUUUGUCCAGAUUAGGGGGUGGGGAGGAGUGUCAGUCAGCCACAUUGGGAGGAUUGCAUUUCAUCAGGGAGGAGGCCUUUGAGCAGGGGUGAGGGGGUGGGGGGUGCUGUGCAGAAGCAGGGCUGGACCCAUUGCCUGACCCAAACAGAGGGCUCCUUGGGAUCUCUCACACUGGCCUCCCUUAGGCCCCUUCCACAUGGCCUCAGGCCUUUGGAGAAAUAAUUAAAUUUACUUCAAGGAAAACAUGGGACACGGGUUUUAUUUCACGUGACCUGAAAUGAAGGUGGCUUCCUAUGUUUUUGCUAAUUGACUUGGGACUUUUUGUGGUUUUCUUUUAGAAGAAAAUUAUUCUAGAUGUUGAGAAUAAGUGCAAUUAUUGUUUGGUGCUGCAUGCAGAAAUAAAAGGAAAACACCUCCCUGAGCUCACCCACCCCUGUGUUACAGAAGAGACAAGUGAGGUGGGGAGGGGAGGCCCCAUAGCCGUGGCAGCCACAGUGAUUGCUCCGGGGCAGGAGAGGGAUGGCUUUCAGGGCUCAAAUAGGACAGAGGAUGCUUAGUGGGGAAUAUUCCUAACGGGGUGGAAGAGAGGAACUGGGAGAUCCUCCAGCUCCUGAUCUCACUUGCAUACCUCUCCAGACACAGAGCUCACUGCUUACCAACUGCCUGGUAAAUUUGCCCAGCUGCAGCUGUUGGACAGUCCUUCUUGAGUGAGGUGCUUCUCCCCUCAAACUCCCAGCCAAGGUUUUCUGCAUCCUAACCUCUACCCACCCUCUGCCCCCAACUUUUCAUCUUUCCCGCCUCGGCCUGAAUGGAGUCUGGGGUCAGGGUGGACUCCGUGGGUAGGGCCCUGGGCUUCUGCAGGCUGCAUAACACUAGCUGCCCAUCUGAUCUGUCCUGGGAAUAUGGCCCCAGAUGGCUGAGGUGGGUUCCAGGCUAGAGCCUCCCCAGCUGGCUGCCAACAUGUGCGCGUGAGGAGAGGCACACAGUCUGUUUCCUGGAUGCCUGGCCUGUCAGCCUGCACAUCCUGCCUGGACUGACCAGGUUGAGGACACAAGCCAGCGGGUAGAGGCAGGGCCAGACAAUUUCAUGGGCAUUGACAGACAAGUGGAGCACCCCAUUAGUGACCUCCCUCACUCAGCACACAUCUGUUCGGCCCCUGCCACGUGUCUGGCCCUGUGAUGGACACUAGGCCCUCAGAAAUGAAUUAGCCAUGAACCCACACCCUGCCCUCCUAGACCAGGAGCCCUGGGUCUAGACAGGCAUGGGGAGACCACAGGGAACAGUACAAAACCUGCAGCCCUGGC